GCUCUCGCAUUCUGUUUGAGGCGCAGGAAGAUUGUAUUGCUGUAACUGCAGGACACGGUUUCCCCUUUUCCCUGAGUUCUUCAGAGCCGGUCAGCACCUCUUCCUCGGUAUUUUGCUUGUUAAACCAGCCUUAGAAUCACCAAGUGAAUGUCGCCGCGGGGAGUGGCAGGGGAGGCGGGACACAGAGGUGGACCUUUGGGUGGGGGGGCAUAGAGGAGACGAGGGUGGAAGAAAGCGCAACCUGGAGGCCUGGGGGGAAAAUAAAUAAAUGCCCCCGCAGGUAACAAUAGUGAAGCCAGGCUCAUCCAGGACCGGCUGGGCAGAUUUGAAUCUUGUUCUCAUCCAUAAAAGUCCAUACAGAAAGGAGACAGAUACAUGGACAAAUCGUGCUGUAGAAGUAUAUGCUGCAUAUGUGUGAUUUAUAUAUAAUGGUGUGUGUAAAGCUUUUCAGGCUUGGCUGUAGUGUAAAAAGUAAUGACUUUAUUACCUCUGAAAGGUUCUGUGGUUCACAUUUAACAGUCUUCUGAAUUACAAUUCAUUACACAAUCGUGUGCUCUCUAAAACCGGCACCCUAUCAGGGCCGCUAUCUGUGGUUAUUCCCAAUAAAUAACUAGCAGCGUUUUAUUGAUUUUCUUUUUUUUAAAUCAUAGGAAAUUAAGCACUUAGUUACAAGUAGGUCUGCUGUUACUGUACUUGUUUCAGAUUCCAGGGGGUUCCUUCGGCAGCCACAUCUUAAAACAUACAUUUAAAAAGCCAGUUGCAGCUGCUUGCCUGGGUACCAGUUCAGAGAACUGUAAGCAUUCUCCGGGCGUAAACACUUCUCGGGGCCGAUGUGCUGGAGUCUGAAUUUCAACUGAGCUCUGCAUCUCGUUUCCAUACCCAGAUCUUCACAGGCAGAGCAAGGCAGAGGACUGCGGAAAUUACCCCAUCAUUUCAGCAAUGAGCCUGCGUUUAUUGGCGUCACCCAGAAAUUUUGUAGCCUGUCUGCUGAGCUCUGGCCCUCAGAGCCAUGGAGAAAGAAAGGGACAGGAAUUGCUGACCACUCCCAGGCAGAAUUAAUUAGAAACAGAUCUUGAUAUUAAAGAAUCUCAUCUUUUCCCUACUCAAAAUCCACACAAACACCCAUGAUUAUAUGUGAUGAAGGGAUUUGCAACCCACCCACUCUGGGUCUUUAUUGCUACAGAAAGUGAACUGUUUGGGAAAGACUAUGUACAAACAGCAGUGGGAAAGGAAACCCCUCUUACAGAACCCCAGCACAUAUGUUCUGUCACGAACCUUCUAGACCCUCACUACAACCGUUCAAUCUAUUGAAUCAAGAGACUGUUUGAUCUUAUCUGCAUUUGUGAGCUGACUGACAACCUGCUUGGGCUGCAUAUUAAAUCAUCUAUAGUAGCUGUA